rnacentral:rRNA from 1 species
AGUGAACGCUGGCGGCGUGCUUAACACAUGCAAGUCGAACGAGAACGGGUUAUAGUUUACUAUAAUUGACAGCUAAGUGGCACACGGGUGAGUAAUGUAUAGGUAAUAUGCCUUUUACUAAGGGAUAACAAUUGGAAACGGUUGCUAAUACCUUAUAUUCCUUAUUAACAUGAAGUUAAUAGGGGAAAGAUUUAUCGGUAAGAGAUUAGCCUGUAUUGUAUCAGUUAGUUGGUGGGGUAAUGGCCUACCAAGACAAUGACGCAUAACUGGUUUGAGAGGAUGAUCAGUCAAACUGGAACUGAGACACGGUCCAGACUCCUACGGGAGGCAGCAGUGGGGAAUAUUGCACAAUGGACGGAAGUCUGAUGCAGCAACGCCGCGUGGAGGAUGACACAUUUCGGUGCGUAAACUCCUUUUAUAUAGGAAGAUAAUGACGGUAUUAUAUGAAUAAGCACCGGCUAACUCCGUGCCAGCAGCCGCAGUAA